AUUUUCUCUACAAGGGAGAUCAUAUUGAUUGUAACUGAUCACUUUGCUUUUCCGGGUUUGAAGGUUCAGUUUUUUUAAUUUAAGUGGUUCUGUUUUAUAUUUAAAUUAAUAUUGAUGAUGUCAAGGUUGUGAUGUAGAAAAUUGUUCCGUUUUUGCAUCAAGAGUUUUCAUCUUUGUUUGCUUUUCAGGGCUUGAAUAUGCAAAAUUAUUUUGCUUAAAUUUUACUUAUAGUAGUUCUUAUCUCUAAUUAGAUUCAUGUUGAUGUUGACAUUGGGGGUGUGAAAAUUUGAUAGUUUAUGAAUAAUAUUUUUUAUAUUUCAUAGUUGGAAGUUUUUGUUUGCAUUUUCUGUUGAAAAAAGUUAUUGGUUGUGUUUAAAUUUGAAGUUUUGUUAUGAUGUAGGUAUGGAAUGAAGUUUAUAAUGUGGAUGCAUCCUUGGUACUUUACUUUCAGGUAUUUCAUUUUGCUGCCUUUGGAUAAGUUUCUACUUUUGUUUUUGUCUUUGGUUUUCUUUAAAGCUAUAUCUUUCUGCUCUUUGUUUCUCUAUAUUCUAAUAAUAAACAGUUAAUUAAUAUCUCUU
rnacentral:lncRNA from 1 species